GUGGGGAAUUUUGGACAAUGGGCGCAAGCCUGAUCCAGCAAUGCCGCGUGCAGGAAGAAGGCCUUCGGGUUGUAAACUGCUUUUGUACGGAACGAAAAGGCUCUGGUUAAUACCUGGGGCUCAUGACGGUACCGUAAGAAUAAGCACCGGCUAACUACGUGCCAGCAGCCGCGGUAAUACGUAGGGUGCAAGCGUUAAUCGGAAUUACUGGGCGUAAAGCGUGCGCAGGCGGUUUUGUAAGACAGAGGUGAAAUCCCCGGGCUCAAACUGGGAAUUGCCUUUGUGACUGCAAGGCUGGAGUGCGGCAGAGCGGGCUGGAAUUCCGCGUGUAGCAGUGAAAUGCGUAGAUAUGCGGAGGAACACCGAUGGCGAAGGCAAUCCCCUGGGCCUGCACUGACGCUCAUGCACGAAAGCGUGGGGAGCAAACAGGAUUAGAUACCCGUGUAGUCC
rnacentral:rRNA from 1 species